UGGAUGUGGAGUCCUGCAAGGUGACAAUUUUGAGUUACUUCACAGCACAAACGGACAUUUCCCCGUGUUUGUCUCAUUUUCCCUGUGACACGAUACCUGAAGCUCCUGAAUGGACAGCAGCAAAGAUUGCCUCAAUGAAUAUUGAUUCCAGAAUCAAGCAAGGAGAUAAUUAGAAAAAUUAGAAAAUUCUCUCCAUUUUUCCCAGGGGAUCACACUCCAGUAAUGGUAGGGAAUAAAUGGUGGGGUUUUCUCAGUCUAUAAAAAGCUAAUAGGCUCGGUGAUAUUUCUGUCUAAAUCAUUUCCAGUAUUUCUUCUGAAAUCACUGAAGCCAUUAAAACAUUUUAGAGAUUAAAUCAUGUCACGUAUUUUUCCAAGUAAAGCCCCAGUGAUGUUGAUAUAAAUGAUCUCUCAAACCACUAAGCUUUUAUGGAAAAAAAAAAAAAAAAGCUUUUAUAUAUUUUAAUUCAAAAGUGCAUAUUUUUAGAAAUACAUGCAAUCCAAAUUUUUGACCAAACCCCGCAGCUCUUUAAGAUGCUGAUAAUUAUUAAACCUGAAAGUGCUAACUUUCCAUCUAGAGGCUUUUUAUGGUUGAGUUACCAGUCUUAAGAAAAGUGGGGGGAGUGAUGAAAGAAAUAGUUGAGACAACAGUGAGCCUCACUUAACCAUUAUAUAUAUUAACGAUCCCAAAGAAAGUAUACUUAGGCCAGCAAAUAACUCCUUAGCAUCAGCUCAUUCAUCUGAAUAGUUUGGGUCAGGACCAUGUUGUACCAGAAACUGUACAAACACAGAAUGAAAGCACUUCAGACCAUGGCAAUGAACAGAGCAAGCAGACAGGACUCUUUCCACUUCUCCCACUUGAUCUUUUCUUUCAGCAGUUGCCAGGUCUUGACAGUUUAAACAAAUAAAAUUAAAUGAAGUA